UGCAUAGCCGACCUGAGAGGGUGAUCGGCCACACUGGAACUGAGACACGGUCCAGACUCCUACGGGAGGCAGCAGUAGGGAAUCUUCCGCAAUGGGCGAAAGCCUGACGGAGCAACGCCGCGUGAGUGAUGAAGGUCUUCGGAUCGUAAAACUCUGUUAUUAGGGAAGAACAUAUGUGUAAGUAACUGUGCACAUCUUGACGGUACCUAAUCAGAAAGCCACGGCUAACUACGUGCCAGCAGCCGCGGUAAUACGUAGGUGGCAAGCGUUAUCCGGAAUUAUUGGGCGUAAAGCGCGCGUAGGCGGUUUUUUAAGUCUGAUGUGAAAGCCCACGGCUCAACCGUGGAGGGUCAUUGGAAACUGG
rnacentral:rRNA from 1 species